CGCGAGAAAGCAAGGCCUUCCUGGAGGCCUUUAUAGUUCCGCGGCUGGAGAGUGCGCCGCCGCCGGCUUUUUCUGAAUCACGGCCCUGUUUCACCAUUGCCUCACCACUAGCUACUUUCAGUGGGACACUGGAUUCUAUGAACAGAAGGAUGGCGUGGCCAUGGGGAGCCCUCUCAGCCCAGUAGUAGCAAAUUUCUAUAUAGAAUACUUUGAAAAACAGGCCCUAGAAAUAGCACCAAAAAAGCCAACUGUUUGGUUCAGAUACGUAGAUGACACCUUCACAAUUUGGAGCCAUGGAUAGGAAGAACUCAGCAAGUUCCUGGACCAUCUUAACAGCCUCCACCCAAACAUCCAAUUUGCCAUGGAAAAAGAAAAGGAAGGAAAACUGCCAUUUCUAGAUGUUCUGGUCAUCCGCAAACCCAAUCAACAAUUGGGCCACAGUUUACAGAAAACCUACACACACAGAUAGAUACCUUCAUAAAAACUCCAACCAUCACCCAAGUAAAAAAAGGAGCACAAUCAAAGCCCUGACAGACCGUGCACAAAGAAUCUGCGAACCUCACCUCCUCCAAGGUGAACUCAACCACCUAAACUGGGCUCUACAGGCCAAUGGUUACUCCACCACAGACAUCAGAAGAGCUUGAAGGCCAAGAACAAGCCAUGAGAGUCAAGACAAAGAUCCACCCAGAGGAAAGGUGUUAUUACCAUACAUCAAGGGAACCACUGACUGCAUAGGCAAACUGAUGAAGAAGCACAACCUACAAACUAUCUACAGACCCACAAAGAAAAUCCAACAAAUGCUACAGUCAGCGAAGGACAAGAGGGAUCCUCUCUCUUCUGCAGGAGUCUACCGGAUACCAUGCAGCUGUGGACAAGUAUACAUAGGGACCACCAAACGCAGCGCCCAAACAAGAGUCAAAGAACAUGAAAGGCACUGCAGACUAAUUCAACCAGAGAAAUCAGCCAUAGCAGAGCAUUUGAUGAACCAGCCUGGACACAGGAUAUUAUUUGAGAACACAAAAAUGCUGGACCAUUCCAACAACUAUCAUGUCAGACUACACAGAGAAGCCAUUGAAAUCCACAAGCAUGUGGACAACUUCAACAGAAAGGAAGAAACCAUGAAAAUGAACAAAAUCUGGCUACCAGUAUUACAAAACUCCAAAAUCAAAACAGUGGAUGGGAACCAACACUCUGAACAAAGGAUGCCCCCAGGCAAGAGACAAAACAUUUCCAGUGCUAAUUGGGGUGAUUAACUGAAACAUUAAUGCUGGCUCUCAGUGACAAAGGACUCUUGCCACACCCUGGACUCUACACAUAUAUAUUCUUUCCUUGCCUUACUUAGUUUAUCCAUACCUCACAACCUCUGAGGAUGCCUGCCAUAGAUGUGGGCGAAACGUCAGGAGAGAAUACUUCUGGAACAUGGCCACACAGCCCGAAAGACAUACAACAUCCCUCUUUUUCUGAAUCCCUUAUUAUCCAACAUAUUCACUUAUCCAACGUUCUGCCGGCCUGUUUAUGUUGGAUAAGUGAGACUCUACUGUAUAUUUAUAAUCUUAUAUUAUCUGCUUAGAACUGGAUUAUAUGAGGCCUCUUCUACACAGCUGUAUAAAAUGCACACUGAAGUGAAUUAUCUGGCAGUGUUGACUCAAGAUAAUCCAGUUCAAAGCAGAUAAUAGAAGAUUAUAAAUGGGCAAUAUAGCUGUGUGGAAGGGCCUUGAGUCUACAAUGCCAUAUAAUCCAGUUAAAAUCAGAUAAUCUGUAUCUUAUAGGCAGUGUGGAAGAGGCCUGAGGUCUAACUGUGCCUGUCCCCUGGGCUGAGUUAGUUGCUAGGAGACCAAGUGGACAGAGCUUAGCCUUCUAACUGGCAGCAAUUGGAUAAAAAAACAAUUAUUCCUCUCCCUCUAAUUAGGACUUUAUUUUUCUUUUCUUUUUGUUGUAUGAACGUAGAGGCAUGGAUGAGGAGUUGUGUUGCCAAGUUUAGUGUUUCUGGGUGUGUAGUUUUAUUGUUUUGUCCUAGGCCGAAUUUUUUUUAUCCUUUUAUAUAUAUAGAUUGGAUCUCUCAUAUUCUUUAUGCUUGUACAUUUUGGCAUCCAUUGUGGUACACAGCAUUCCUUCUGCAGAUUGAAUAAAGCUUCUGUCGUUUGCCUUCGAA